AAAAAAAAAAAAAAAAAAAAUCAGUUAGAAGCCGGGGAUUAGCUCAGUGGCCCUGUGUCUGCCUCACAAGCGCAAGGUCCUGAGUUUGAUCCACGGUACCUCAAAACAAAACAAAACAAAACAAAAAACCAGUUACAAAUACUUUUAGCACAUCUCAUUAUAAAACACAGAAAAUAGAGGCAAACUAAAACAGUGCCCAGCGUUUCUGCAGGCAGAAGCUGCACAGUGCAGAGGCCUGGCACUGUUAUCUUCCUCUUUGGAUACCUGUUUGAAUGGUCGAAUGGAGCCUGCCGGGCUCCUCCAUAGGGGUGGUGGCUUUGGUAGCAGAGUCACCUUCUUGCAGAGCCAGGUAGGUGCCUCCUCUUCUCUCCAGUUGAUGGCUCUCACCUGUAAGUGACUCAUCUCAGAAGGGGAAUGGAAUGAAAGAGGAACUCAGUACCUGGCAUGGUGGUCUCCCUUGCUCUGGCCCCAUUCUUCUGAGU
rnacentral:lncRNA from 1 species